GGCUUUGAUUCUCUUCUCCAGACGAAAAUAGAUCUCAAUCAGUUUGUAAUCUGUUAUCACUCUUCCUUCUUCAUCCUCUGAAGAAUUUAUAGUCACAGUACCUGAGGUUAAGAAGAAGAAGUUUGUAACAGAGGUGGUGAUGAUGAGUCAGGGAUGGAUCUCCUCCUACCUCAGCUGAAGAAGAAGAAAAACAAGGGAAGCAAAAUAUGAAGAAGGAGGACAGAAAAAGCUCAAUUAAUCGUUUCCAAAGCUGUUGAGUAACUGGAAUGGAUCUUUAAUUCAAAACAGCCAUUCUGAUGAUGAUUAGUAUGUUAACAAUGGUGAAUUUCUGGCGAUGCCCCAAAUCUCCUAGCUAGCUGGACUUUGCCAAUUGAUGAGCACCCCCAACAAAUGGCAGUCAACAAUCUGAUCACUGUGGAAGCCUAGAGUUAGUUAACAAGGUCAGAGUUCGGAGUUGAUGGACAUGUGAAUUGGAGGAGGGAAAGGCAAUAUCUAGAUGAAAUAGACCCGCAACAAAUGAAAGUUUAAGAACCCACUAUGGAAGAGAAGCAGACCUGCGACCGUGAAAGAAAAAAAUCUGAAGUUGUAUUUUUUUAUUUCUGAAUUUUUUGGUGCAUGGCAUAUGCCUGCAAAACGGCGCGGCAGGCGCAUCGCGCAUGCGUGUUAUACUAGUAGGUAUAAAAACUAGAUUUUUUUUUGUUGUUGAAAACAUUGUAUUUGAUCCCAUAUUCCCAUCAGGAAAAGGGUCUGGCAGUCUGGCUUCGUCACCUCCCCGUCGAUACAUUUGCUUCCAAUCACUAAAAGUGAGAUUAAUUU